rnacentral:rRNA from 1 species
GAUUUAUUUUAUUAAUAUUUUAAUUAAUUUUAUUUUAAAAUUUUAUAAAAAUAAUUUAUAUAUUUUUUGUUUAAGUAUUAAUUAAGAAAAAAUUUUUAGAUUAAUAGUUUAUUAGUAUUGUAAAAGAAUUAAAUUAAAAUUUUUUAAAGAAUAUUUAUAUAGUACCUUUUGUAUCAGGGUUGAUUAAAAUUUUAAAUUUAUUAUUUUAUUUCUCAAAAAUUAUAGAGUUAAUUUUAUUAUUAAGUUACUGUUUUAUAAGUAUUUAAAAAAUAAUAUUAGUUUUGAAAUUUAAUUCGUUAUAGUAUAUUUAGUUAUUUAAGAUUUAAAUUUAAUUUAAAAUUUUAAAAGUUUAUAUUAAUUUUAUUAAUUAAAAUUUUAAAUUUAAAUUAUUUUAGGGAUAAGCUUGAAAUUUUUAUAUAAUAAUUAUUUUUAUUAAAUAAUUAAUAGGAAUAGAAAUUUUUAUUUAAGUUUGUAAAAAUUUAUUAUUUUAUUUUUAUUUGAUUUAUUAAAUUAAUUUAUUUUUAAUAUUAAAUUUUAUAAAUAAAUGAGUUAUUUAUAGUAAUAAUGAUUAAAUUAGUAUAAUAAAAAUUUAUAAAUUAUGAAUUCGGCAAAAAUUAUUUUCAUCUGUUUAUCAAAAACAUUGUAUUAAGUUUUAUUUAAUAUAUAAUCUGCUCAAUGAAAUUUUAAAUAGCUGCAGUAUUUUGACUGUGCAAAGGUAGCAUAAUAAUUAGUCUUUUAAUUGAGGACUUGCAUGAAAGAUUUGAUGAAAAAUAAACUUUAUUAUUUAUAUAAUUAAAAUUUUAUUUUUAAGUAAAAAAGCUUAAAUUAUUUAAAGGGACGAUAAGACCCUAUAAAACUUUAUAAAUUAUUAAUAUUUAAUUUUUCUUGUUUAAUAAAUAUUUAAAUUUUGAUAUUUAUUUUAUUGGGGUGAUAAAAAAAAUUAAACUUUUUUUAAAAUUUAACAUUAAUUAAUGAAUAUUUGAAUUAAAAAUUUUAAUUAAAGGAAAAAGUUACUUUAGGGAUAACAGCGUAAUUAAUUUUUUAAGCCCAAAUUUAAAAAUUAGUUUGCGACCUCGAUGUUGAAUUAAGAUUAAUCUUAGGUGCAAAAUUUUAAGUGUUAGGUCUGUUCGACCUUUAAAAUCUUACAUGAUUUGAGUUCAGACCGGUGUAAGCCAGGUUGGUUUCUAUCUUUUAAAAUUUAAAUUAUUUUAGUACGAAAGGAUUAAAUAAUUAAAUUAAAUUUUUAUUUAUGAAUAAAAUUAAUG